AACGCACCUUGCACCUUUUGGUAUUCCGAAAGGUACACCCGUUUGAGUGUCAUUGUAAUCUCACUCCACCAGCAUUUUGUUGAUGGAUGUGGACCUGGACUUUGUUGUGUUACUACAACUGGUCUGAAAUGCAUGAGUGCACCCUGCUGUUGCAGCGUUUUCAGUGUGAUAAGCAUCUUCACUGGAUCAAGUUCCCUUGGGACACGCAGGCAUUGUGGGCUCUGUGCUGGCAAACUGUCUUUGGACAACUUUGACAAUUUGACCUCAGAUCGGGUGGGACUACCCGCUGAACUUAA
rnacentral:misc_RNA from 1 species